ACUCACAUGUUUCUGUGUCCUGAUGACUGGAUUUACAAACGUAUGAACAAAACAGCUCACUCUGUAGGACAUUGCAGCAAGUGUUGGAGACGGGUGAGGUAGAAGUACACAGUAAUGUCCCCGGACAUAUAUGUACACAUUUGCCUUUUUAUACACUGGAUAGUGUAACAUAGAAACGCAGGAUCUGAAAGCAGUUUCUUCAAUCAAUCUCCAGUACAUAAGUUGGUAAAAGAUGCUGCCUAUGAUAUGUCAGUAUCCGGUCAUCUCCCGCCUCAGGCUUGAUCUUAUAUACAG